ACACAUGCAGUCGAGCGAUGAAAUUUUGACAGAUCCCUUCGGGGUGAAGACAAAAUGGAUUAGCGGCGGACGGGUGAGUAACACGUGAGUAACCUGCCUUAGACAUUGGGAUAGCCUCGGGAAACCGGGAUUAAUACCAAAUAAAAUCAUAGGUGCACAUGCACUAAUGAUCAAAACUCCGGUGGUCUAAGAUGGACUCGCGUCCCAUUAGCUAGUUGGUAGGGUAACGGCCUACCAAGGCGACGAUGGGUAGCCGGCCUGAGAGGGUGAACGGCCACAUUGGAACUGAGAAACGGUCCAAACUCCUACGGGAGGCAGCAGUGGGGAAUAUUGCACAAUGGAGGGAACUCUGAUGCAGCGACGCCGCGUGAACGAAGAAGGCUUUCGAGUCGUAAAGUUCUUUUAUAUGGGAAGAUAAUGACGGUACCAUAAGAAAAAGCCCCGGCUAACUACGUGCCAGCAGCCGCGGUAAUACGUAGGGGGCUAGCGUUGUCCGGAAUCACUGGGCGUAAAGGGUUCGCAGGCGGAAAUGCAAGUCAGGUGUAAAAGGCAGUAGCUUAACUACUGUAAGCAUUUGAAACUGCAUAUCUUGAGAAGAGUAGAGGUAAGUGGAAUUUUUAGUGUAGCGGUGAAAUGCGUAGAUAUUAAAAAGAAUACCGGUGGCGAAGGCGACUUACUGGGCUCAUUCUGACGCUGAGGAACGAAAGCGUGGGUAGCAAACAGGAUUAGAUACCCUGGUAGUCCACGCUGUAAACGAUGAGUGCUAGGUGUCGGCGUAAGUCGGUGCCGCAGUUAACACAAUAAGCACUCCGCCNGGGGAGUA
rnacentral:rRNA from 1 species